CAGUCGCCGCGGUAAUACGAAGGGUGCAAGCGUUAAUCGGAAUUACUGGGCGUAAAGCGUGCGUAGGCGGUUAGUUAAGUCUGUUGUGAAAUCCCCGGGCUCAACCUGGGAAUGGCAAUGGAUACUGGCAAGCUAGAGUGUGUCAGAGGAUGGUGGAAUUCCCGGUGUAGCGGUGAAAUGCGUAGAGAUCGGGAGGAACAUCAGCGGCGAAGGCGGCCAUCUGGGACAACACUGACGCUGAUGCACGAAAGCGUGGGGAGCAAACAGGAUUAGAUACCCCCGUAGUCCCUGUCUCUUAUAC
rnacentral:rRNA from 1 species